AUUGAACGCUGGCGGCAUGCCUUACACAUGCAAGUCGAACGGUAACGCGGGGCAACCUGGCGACGAGUGGCGAACGGGUGAGUAAUGCAUCGGAACGUGCCCAGUAGAGGGGGAUAACGUAGCGAAAGCUACGCUAAUACCGCAUACGAUCUAUGGAUGAAAGCGGGGGAUCGCAAGACCUCGCGCGAUUGGAGCGGCCGAUAUCAGAUUAGGUAGUUGGUGAGGUAAAGGCUCACCAAGCCGACGAUCUGUAGCUGGUCUGAGAGGACGACCAGCCACACUGGGACUGAGACACGGCCCAGACUCCUACGGGAGGCAGCAGUGGGGAAUUUUGGACAAUGGGCGCAAGCCUGAUCCAGCAAUGCCGCGUGCAGGAUGAAGGCCUUCGGGUUGUAAACUGCUUUUGUACGGAGCGAAAAGGCUUCCACUAAUACUGGGGGCUCAUGACGGUACCGUAAGAAUAAGCACCGGCUAACUACGUGCCAGCCGCCGCGGUAAUAC
rnacentral:rRNA from 1 species